GUUGAAACACCGGUUCCUGUACGAUCACUGAAGUUAUGCAACGUCGACCCCGGUCAGUACCUAGAUGGGUGACCAGUUAGGAAUACCAGCUGCAGCAAG